GGCAGGUCUGUCUCUGUACAGCAGCCGCGCUGACGUGGGUGAAUUGUCUAGGCCGGACUAUAAUCCCGGGCUCACCUGGGAACUGCAUUCGAACUGGCAGGCUAUGAGUCUUGUAGAGGGGGGUAGAAUUCCAGGUGUAGCGGUGAAAUGCGUAGAGAUCUGGAGGAAUACCGGUGGCGAAGGCGGCCGCCUGGACUGAGACUGACGCUCAGGUGCGAAAGCGUGGGGAGCAAACAGGAUUAGAUACCCUGGUAGUCCACGCCGUAAACGAUGUCGACUUGGAGGUUGUGCCCUUCAGCCGUGGCUUCCGGAGCUAACGCGUUUAGUCACCCGCCUGGGGAGUACCGACCGAAGGUUUAAACUCAAAUGAAUUGGCGGGGGCCCGCACCAGCGGGGGGGGCAUGGUGUUUA
rnacentral:rRNA from 1 species